rnacentral:rRNA from 1 species
AUCUGGCUCAGGAUGAACGCUAGCGACAGGCUUAACACAUGCAAGUCGAGGGCAUCACGGGAGUAGCAAUACAACUGGUGGCGACCGGCGCACGGGUGAGUAACGCGUAUGCAACCUACCUAUCAGAGGGGAAUAACCCGGCGAAAGUCGGACUAAUACCGCAUAAAACAGGGGCACCGCAUGGUGAUAUUUGUUAAAGAAAUUCGCUGAUAGAUGGGCAUGCGUUCCAUUAGGUAGUUGGUGAGGUAACGGCUCACCAAGCCGACGAUGGAUAGGGGAACUGAGAGGUUGGUCCCCCACACUGGUACUGAGACACGGACCAGACUCCUACGGGAGGCAGCAGUGAGGAAUAUUGGUCAAUGGGCGGGAGCCUGAACCAGCCAAGUCGCGUGAAGGAAGAAGGAUCUAUGGCUCGUAAACUUCUUUUGCAGGGGAAUAAAGUGCAGGACGUGUCCUGUUUUGUAUGUACCCUGAGAAUAAGGAUCGGCUAACUCCGUGCCAGCCGCCGC